rnacentral:rRNA from 1 species
CUAGGUGGCAGUUUAUGCGGGGCACAGAUCCCAUAAAGAGUAGCUGGGUAUAUCCUAAUUCCGAAAAAUUUGGGGAAAAAAUUAUAUAUUUUCUUUUGAGUCUUUAUUUAAUAUAUAAAUUUUAUAUAAAUUUAAUAUUUCGCCGAUCGCUUAUGGCGGUUGACCGAUUUUUAAGAUGAAUUUAUAGAUAAGUAGAUAAGAUAUAUUACUUAUCUCUAUCUAUAUUUAAUCACUAUCUUUUUAUUUAAAAUAAAUUUUAAUUUUAAAGCAAGUAAGAUUUUAACUAUAUCGAGGAUAGGUGUAAUAAAUAAAAUUCACAUUUUCUAAUCUUCUGGGCAC